ACCGGCGGAAGGCGCGCGCCCCGUUCCUUGAGCCGAAGCUUCCGUUUGGGUGUCAUAGACGGUGGAACAGCCGACCUCUGCGUUUGAGGGUGCGCCCCGGACGUAUUCAGCGCAGCCGCGGCACCCGAGCUUUCGAUCUGCACCACAAGCGGCUGCCCGUCCAGCGUCAGCGAGUGAAACUGUUUCACCGCGCGCUCUGCUGUUUCCAUAUCCGCGUACUUGACAGUUGCGACGCCCUUGCUCUUACCCUCACGAUCAUGGCGAAUGAACGCGGUAAUAGUUGGACCAACCGAGUUAAAAAGGUCGGCAAUAUCUUGAGAAGUCACCGACGGGGCCAGGUUGCUCACGGAAACAACAACAGCUUUCGAGCCGGGUCGCUGACCGGCCUGAACAACCCUGCGACGCCUUUGGGCUUUUCGAAUUCUCCCCUGGGCGACCGCCUUGGGAACUCGCGCUGUGUGAUCAACUUGCAUACGUUAAGCAGAACGGUAAGCGCGCUCUGUGGCGUGUGGAAACAGCAAGGAGAUGAAAGCUGCUCUGUGUAGCGCAAGAAAGCGUCGUUCAACGGUAACGUUCGCGCUAAACUCAGCGGCAACACGCCGGCGUGCCGCGCACUCCGGAACGCUGGGAUUCAUUUUUUUUUGAAUGCGCGGGGCAGGGAGCAUCCACGAAGCUGUAUCCUGAUGGAUCCGUAUGAGCGGGUGUUUGUGGAACUUGCUCGCCGUGGGGCGUAUGGAUGCUUUGGAACGUACCCCAGUGCAGCAUAUCUCUGUGUCUGUGUCACGUCCGUGACUAGGAGCAUCCACGAAGCUGUAUCCUGAUGGAUCCGUAUAAGCGGGUGUUUGUGGAACUUGCUUGCCGUGGGGCGUAUGGAUGCUUUGGAACGUACCCCAGUGCGGCAUAUCUCUGUGUCUUUGUCACAUCCGUGACUGGGAGCAUCCACGAAGCUGUAUCCUGAUGGAUCCGUAUGAGCGGGUGUUUGUGGAACUUGCUCGCCGUGGGGCGUAUGGAUGCUUUGGAACGUACCCCAGUGCGGCAUAUCUCUGUGUCUGUGUCACGUCCGUGACUGGGAGCAUCCACGAAGCUGUAUCCUGAUGGAUCCGUAUAAGCGGGUGUUUGUGGAACUUGCUUGCCGUGGGGCGUAUGGAUGCUUUGGAACGUACCCCAGUGCGGCAUAUCUCUGUGUCUGUGUCACGUCCGUGACUGGGAGCAUCCACGAAGCUGUAUCCUGAUGGAUCCAUAUGAGCGGGUGUUUGUGGAACUUGCUCGCCGUGGGGCGUAUGGAUGCUUUGGAACGUACCCCAGUGCGGCAUAUCUCUGUGUCUUUGUCACAUCCGUGACUGGGAGCAUCCACGAAGCUGUAUCCUGAUGGAUCCGUAUAAGCGGGUGUUUGUGGAACUUGCUCGCCGUGGGGCGUAUGGAUGCUUUGGAACGUACCCCAGUGCAGCAUAUCUCUGUGUCUUUGUCACAUCCGUGACUGGGAGCAUCCACGAAGCUGUAUCCUGAUGGAUCCGUAUGAGCGGGUGUUUGUGGAACUUGCUCGCCGUGGGGCGUAUGGAUGCUUUGGAACGUACCCCAGUGCGGCAUAUCUCUGUGUCUUUGUCACAUCCGUGACUGGGAGCAUCCACGAAGCUGCGUCAUGUUCGCGUGUGUAUCGAGCGUAUCGCUGAGUGUGAGGUCGUUGUACACAAACGGAAUCCGCAAGUAGCCUUCACAUCAGCGGGUUCUCAUCUCGAAGUCAUCAACACUAGAAUCCGCUUCCGGUCAUAAACAUCCACGACGUGC